rnacentral:lncRNA from 10 species
CUAAAACUUAAAGUAUAAUUAAAAAAAAAAGAAAAAAAAAAAGAAAUUUUCAUUCCAUCUGCAACCUAAUUUCCAUUUGCCAUGUGACAUCUAGCCCCAGGCUCUAGGGAUUAGGACAUGAACAUUUGGAGGUGGGAGUGGCUGAGGCAUUAUUCUGUCUACUUCAGUAAAAGAACUAUUAGAUGGAUAGAUCACACAUACAUACAUACAUACAUACAUACAUUGAGUUUCUGUAGAGCUGCAGCCUCUCUCAUGAAAUCAUUUUUUAUUUUAUAAAGCAUAAUAUUCCUAAUCCUCAUAUGAAAUUGAUGCUUUUGGAUUACUAUGGCAUUGUCAGGUGCUAUUCCAAGACAUAUGAAGACAUACUUUAGACAGUCUAUUAAUAUAUAUUCUAUAGCCUGACUCACAGGUUCCAAAUGCCAGCUCCACCACUUACACUGUGUGACUUACGCCUUAGUUUCCUCAUUCGCAAAAUGAAGACAGCAUUAGUAUCUGUGUCACAGGGUUGUUGUGAGGCUUAAAUGAGUUACUAAGCACUUAGAACAGCACCAAGACAUAACGAGUACUCGAUACAUGCUGCUUAGUUUGACUUCAUUCAUAUCUGCCUGAGCAAGAGCUCACAGAAGAAUCUCUCCCAGGGCAGGAAUGAUCAGCCCCAAACUAAAAUCCAGUUUUUGUUCUCAGAUACACAAGCAGAAAAUAGUAACAGAUCAUUUUUUUAAUCCACCUUGGUAUAUCUGGGUUUUUUUCUUUCCAUUUUACCAGACUGAAAUUACAUAUCAGGAUGUCUGGUUCAAUACUGGGAACCUGGAAACCCUACUGGCUUUCUGCUAUGAAUUACAUGGAUUGGGCAAGAUAACCUUUGCCCUCAAGAAAGUUGCCACAUAAUGAGCAGAUAGGACGAACAAAGAUGGAACAUAAGUAAACAAAUUUAGCAAAAAGAUUUAUUUCCAGAGCCUCAGAUAGCUUUGAUCUAAAAUGCAAAGGGAGCAACUCCCCAUUUUGGCCUGUUUGCCCCCAGGGGACUGAAUCUUGAAGUUGUAUGGAACGAUUCUCAUUGCUAACAUCAAAAAAGCUGGACACAAAAGCUUCAUUCAAGGCACCUCCUCUACAACUGUAAUCAUACAGUUGAAGUAAACUAUACUUCAUUAAUCUUUGGGUAAAUCUUUCCUCUAGCAUCCAGGAUUGUUUCUAAGAAAAGGCUAAAAAUAUGACGAAUUUCUCUCUCUAGAUUCAUUAUGCUAAAGGAUUAUCCAAUGCACAAAGCUCAAAGACUAUCUCACAGGAGCACACAUAGUUCCACAACUAAGCAUUACUUAAAACAUGAAAAUUCCAUAAAAAAUCCUUCUGAUUUUUACUAUUUUAAAUUGGUAAAGGGCUACUUCUUUCCCAUGAAAUUACUGCCAAACUGAAAUUAGUAAAUCUAUCUCUAUUUACUCUGCUUUCAAGUAUUUUGGCAGCCAUUCUGACAUACAAUUCAAAGCACUUAGAAAACUGACAAUACCUGAAUGUCAACACCGUGGAAGAGGAGUGCAAACUUGAUGUUCUGUACUUUAUUGUGAUUAUCAAGUAAAAUUAAAUUUUAUGUUAUCAAAUACAGCAAUUUCUCUUAAUGUAGUAAGCUGUAUAAUUAAUGAACUCAGAAACAAUUAAAUAUUGCCAUUCAAAUAUAUUUUUUUUUUUUUGAGAUGGAAUCUCACUCUGUCACCCAGGCUGGAGUGCGGUGGCACUAUCUCUGCUCACUACAAGCUCCACCUCCCAGGCUUACGCCAUUCUCCUGCCUCAGCCUCCCGAGUAGCUGGGACUACAGGUGCCCGCCACCACACCCGGCUAAUGUUUUGUAUUUUUAGUAGAGAUGGGGUUUCACCGUGUUAGCCAGGAUGGUCUCGAUCUCCUGACCUUGUGAUCCACCCACCUCAGCCUCCCAAAGUGCUGGGGUUACAGGCGUGAGCCACCGUGCCCAGCCUCAAGUAUACUCUUACAACACAAUUAAAUUCAAUCUUCAGUAAUCCCAAAAUUUCAUUACCCCUGUGAAAAUGUCCUGGAUUAGCAGUCUCCUACUUUAAGUGUUUUAUGAAAGAAUACAGUUUAUUUUAGUAUAAAUAAUAUAGCCAGACUCUAUGAAACAAAAGGUUGAAUAAUAUUUACCUAUAGCUCCCAUUUAGAAGUACCAAAGUUAUGAAGCACAUUCAUUGGCUACUGUCAUAUUUAUUAGGAUUUAUGUUUUAUCAGAUUAUAAGCACUCUUUAGUGAAAAAUGUUUUUUUCCUCUUUGCUCAGAAAAUUGUCCAACACUCCUGGUCCAGUCAAGAGUGAAGCAAAAAACUCCUCAAUUUGAAUGGCUUUCGUUUGGGUCAAUUUAUUUGGUUACAGAGAAGUUUUGAUAAAAUACAAAAAAAAAAAAACCUAAAUAUUUUUAUUGUUUAAAAAUAUUAAUCACUACCCACUAAGUGCCAGGCACUGUUCUAGGUACUAGAGAUACAUAGCUAAAGGCCACAGCCAAAAAAAUGAGUCAUUGGGAUUACAAAUAUGGAGCAAUGGCUAAAAGUUAGUGCUUGAGAGUAGCUGAAAUGGCUGUUGGAGAAGAGAGGAAAAGAAGUGCCAUAUUCCAGCAGUAGGGUUCAACCAACUAACUUUUUUUCUUUUUUUUUUUUUUAUCCAACAUUUAUUUUAAGUUCAGGUUUGUUAACAUAGGUAAACAUAGGCCAUGGUAGUUUGCUGCACAGAUCAAUCCACCACCUAGGUAUUAAGCCCAGCAUCCCUUAGCUAUUCUUCCUGAUGGUCUCCCCCCACCCCGCUCCCACCCCUGACGGGCCCCAGUGUGUGUUGCUCCCCUACAUGUGCCUAUGUGCUCUCAUUGUUCAGCUCCUACUUAUAAGGGAGAACAUGACAUGUUUGGUUUUCUGCUUCUGCGUUAGUUUGCUGAGGAUAACAGCUCCCAGCUCUAUCCAUUUCCUGGCAAAGGACAUAAUAUCAUUCCUUUUUAUGGCUGCAUUGUAUUCCAUGGUGUAUAUGUACCACAUUUUCUUUACCCAGUCUGCUAUUCAUGGGCAUUUGGGUUGAUUCCAUGUCUUUGCUAUUGUGAAUAGUGCUGCAGUGAACAUAUAUGUGCAUGUUUCUUUAUAACAGAAUGAUUUAUGUUCCUUUGGGUAUAUACCAAGUAAUGGAAUUGCUGGGUCAAAUGGUUUUCUGCCUUUAGAUCUUUGAGGAAUUGCCACACUGUCUUCCACAAUGCUUGAACAAAUUUACACUCCCACCAGCAGUGUAAAAGAGUUACUCUUUCUCUGCAACCUCACCAGCAUCUGCUGUUUCUGGACUUUUUUUUUUUUCUGACUGGCAUGAGAUGAUACCUCAUUGUGGUUUUGAUUUGCUUUUCUCUAAUAAUCAGUGAUGUUGAGGUUUUUUCAUGUGUUUGUUGGCCACAUGAAUGUCUCCUUUUGAGAACUGUCUGUUCAUAUCAUUUGCCCACUUUUUAAUGGGGUUGCUUGUUUUUUUCUUGUAAAUUUGUUUAAGUUCCUUAUAGACUCUGGAUAUUAGACCUUUGUCAAUGGGAUAGAUUGCAAAAAUUUUUUCCCAUUCUGUAAGUUGUCUAGUCAUUCUGAUGAUAGUUUCUUUUGCUCUACAGAACUUUAGUUUAAUUAGAUCCCAUUUAUCAAUUUUGCUUUUAUUGCAAUUGCUUUUGGUGUUUUUCAUCAUGAAAUAUUUACCCGUGCUUAUGUCCUGAAUGGUACUUCCUAGAUUUUCUUCUAGGGUUUUUAUAGUCUUGGGUCUUACAUUUAAGUUUUUAAUCCAUCUUGAGUUAAUUUUUGUAUAAGGAAGUGAUCCAGUUUCAAUUUUCUGCAUCUGAGCCAACUAACUUUUAAAAGACAGAGUGAUGGCUUGAAGAUGUGAUAAAAAUUAUUAAAACUCAAUAAAAAUUUUGAAAGUAAAACAAAGAUCCAAAUCACAUAAGAGAGGCCCAAGAAUAAAACUAAGGGAGAGAAAGUAUUGACAAACCCAAACACACGCACACUCACCCACCCCCCCACCCACACACACGAAAUGAUUGUGCACUGUGAUGGUUACUGUUGAACAUCAAUUUGAUUGAAUUGAAAGGAUGCAAAGUAUUGUUCCUGGGUGUGCCUGUGAAAGUGUGGCCAAAGGAGAUUAACUUUUGUGUCAGUGGACUGGGAGAGGCAGACCCACCCUCAAUCUGGGUGGGUACCAUCUAAUCAGCUGCCAGUUCUGCUAGAAUAAAGGAGGCAGAAGAAGUUGGAAAGAGCAGACUUGCUGAGUCUUCCGGCCCUCAUCUUUCUCCCAUGCUGAAUGCUUCCUGUCCUUGGAUAUCAGCCUCCAGGUUCUUCAGCUUUUGGACUCUUGGACUUACACCAGUGAUUUGACAGGGGCUCUCAGACCUUGGGCCACAGACUGAAAGCUGCACUGUCAGCUUCCCUUCUUUUGAGGUUCUGGGACUCGGACUGGUUUCCCCACUCCUCACCUUGCAGACGGCCUAUUGUGGGACUUUACCUUAGGUGAGUCAAUUCUCCUAAUAAACUCCCUUUCAUGUAUACAUAUAUCCUAUUGUUCUGUCCCUUUAGAGAACCCUGACUAAUACGGGCACAAAGAAACACAGACAAGAAACUUCUAGUAAUGAAUGGGGAACUUCUGAGAAGUAAAUCUGAUGACACUGAGUGUGUCAGUCUUAUCUGACUAUGUUUAUAGAAAGGAAAAGAAUCACAAACUUGGGAUUGUUUCCUCUCAUAUUCCAAUCAAUAGUAACUUCCUUUUCACAAUGAGACUUUAAACAAUUAGGGAAACAUUUCAGUUUCCAGCUAAUGGAUUUAAGAGUGAUUGCUAUUUCAGGAAAAGCACUUCAUCCAAUUGUAGGCAUGCCAAAGGUGGAAGAAAGGGGAACUGAAGAAGCGUAAACUGUACUAAAGGCCUCCACAGCUGGCUUUGAAUCCACUGAGAAACUAAUAUUCUUUCCCUAAUAAUCUCUUAAAGACUUUAGGUUGCUUUCAUUCAGGAUGAAAAUGUGCUGGCCUAAGAACAACUGUUGACUCAACACUUGAGCAUCAAGGAGCUAGACGUUCUAUUUACUGUGCCAAUGCCAGGCAUUCCUGCGUAAUGUGCAAGCAGUGCUUGAGAAAAUAUACAUAGAGUGGGGGUUCAAAUACCGAGAUACCAGUGUUCUAGUUAAUAGCAUGUUCAAACCUACCACAUUUUUUCCUCCUGGUAAUUAUUCCAGCGCCUCUGGAUAUUCUCUUGCUGUUCACCAGAGAGCAAAGUAGGGCAGAGAAAGGACAAACACCCUAGGUCAUCAACACUUUGGCCACAGAUAUCUUGAACACUGUAGGUAAUCUGUUAUUUUAGAGCCUACUUUUCCAGAAUUCACCCUCAUAUGUGACCUGCACCAGUGCUAUGUUGUUUUAAAUGUAUUGAAAUAUGUUCUUGCUUUAUGGAGGCAUCAACAACAUCAACUCACUUGCAAAUACCAAUGUGUCAAAAUUUGAUACAGAUACUGAUAUUAAUAUGAUAUAGAAGGAUGAUAAUUAAGCUUGGAUAAUUUUAUAAAGAUAAUUGGCAUCAAACUAAUAAGGCACAUUUAUGCAUUAUAUAUUUGCUAAAUUAAUGUCUUAUUUAGUUAUUUAUAAUAUUUAAGUGUCUUCUC